AACAAGUCCACUUACCACCGCCAUGAAUGAGGUCAAGGUUUAUUUAGUAUGGGUUUUUGUUUUUAUGCUUUGGGGAUUUUAAUUUCGGAUUUUUAAGAAUUUUUAAAGAGUGGUAAGAUGACCAUGAACGUGCCCAAGAUGAUUUACUUGGAGGAAGGAUGGGAAUUUAUGCAGAAGGGUAUCACAAAGUUGAAGAACAUUUUGGAGGGGCUGCCCGAGCCUCAGUUUACCUCAGAAGAUUACUUCAUGCUCUAUACGAAAAUAUUUGAUAUGUGUUUUCAAAAGCCUCCACAUGACUAUUUACCGCAGCUUUAUGGCAAGUACCGGGAAUCAUUCGAAGAGUAUAUUACUUC